rnacentral:lncRNA from 1 species
UCUCCUGACCUUGUGAUCCGCCCGCCUCAGCCUCCCAAAGUGCUGGAAUUACAGGCAUGAGCCACCACGCCCAGCCGUAUGAUUACCCUUAAGAGUUAACUACCACACUCAAAAGAGCGCAACUAGGGUUGCCACACACGCCAAGUGGAGGAGAAGAGCCUGCUGUGUGCGCGCACCUGACAGUCACCGGCUUCUCUUUACGUUUCCAAUAGGAAGCGCACACUACGCUGUGGGAACAAAAACACCAGGUGUCUGCUAUGGCCAAGGCAGAUAAGGUCUUUCUCUCCAACAGGAUCCAGAGAUGAGCCACUGGUACUAACACCCAACGGCUGAUGAAGCACGAGUCAAAGAUUAUGACUUGGACUUAGUCACUGGACAUGUGGAUUAUGAGUUGGACACAUACACACAAGUAUCUUGACAUACACAUAUCACAGAGGAACUUCAGAGGAAGGGGCUCCUAAGAAAUGUCUGGCAACUGAGGGAACAGGUUAUGUAAAUGGAUUAAUAUAAAACUCAACUUUAUAUAAUGUGUAAGAUAUUUAGAAGGUAAACCAUGCAUUCUUAGUUAAGAUAAAAACACAAGAACUUUCCUCUGCUCGUAUUUCAGGAAUACGUCUGCUGAGGGACACGUUCUACAAAACAAUGAAGUUUGCUGCAUCAACUGCAUUUUCCUUUCAUGAAAAAUUUCUCUGUACCAUGCAGUGGUGUUUGACAGCAUGUUACCCACAGUAGAAUUACUUUCAAAAUCUGAGUCAAUCUUCUCAAACCCUGCCGCUGCUUUAUCAACUAAGUAUGCACUACUGUAAAUCUUUGAUCACUUCAACAAUGUUCACAGCAUCUUCGCUGGUAGAUUUCCUCUUAAAAAACCACAUUGCUCAUUCACAAGAACCAAUGCCUCAGCAAUUUACGUUUUCUCAUGAGACUGCAGUAAUUCAGUCACAUCCUCAGGCUCCAUGUCUAAUUCUAGUUCACUUGCUAGUUCCACCCCAUCUGCAGUUACUUCCUCUACUGAAGUCUUGGAAUGAACUUCUUCCAAACUCCUGUUCAUGUUGCAUUUUGACCUCCUUCCAUGAAUCACCAAUGUUUUUAAUGGCAUCUAGAAUGGUGAAUCCUUUCCUGAGGGUUUUCAAUGUGCUUUGCCCAGAUCCAUCAGAGGAACCACUGCCUGUGACAGCUAAAGCCUUAUGAAGUGUAUUUCUUAAGUAAAAGUAAAACUUACUCCUUGAUCCAUGGGCUACAGAAUGGAUGUUGUGUUAGCAGGCAUGAAAACAACAACAGUCUCCUUGUACAACUCCAUCAGACCUCUUGGGUGACCAGGUGCAUUGUCAAUGAGCAGUAAUAUUUUGAAAGAAAUCUUUUUUUCCGAGCAGUAGGUCUCAACAGUAGGCUUAAAACGUUCAGUAAACCUUGCUGUAAACAAAUCUGCUGUCAUCUGCCGAGGCUUUGUUAGUCAUUGGCAGGGUAUAGGUAGAUUUAGCUUCAGAUUCAAGGGCCUUAGGAUUUUCUGAAUGGUAAAUGAGCACUGGCUUCAAUGUAAGGUCACCAGCUACAUUAGUCCCUAACAAGAGCGUCAGCCUUCGAAGCCUGGAAGCCAGGCAUUGACUGUUCUCUAGCUAUGAAAGUCCUAUAUGGCAUCUUCUGUUUCAUCUGCAUUGCAAAAGUGUAGUGUAGCCACCUUUUUCAAGAUCAUAGCUAGAUCUUCUGGAGAACUUGCUGCAGCUUCUACAUCAGCACUUGCUGCCUUACCUUGCACUUUAUGUUAUGGAGAUGGCUUCUUUCCUUAAACUUCAUGAACCAACCUCUGCAAGCUUUCAAAUUUUCUUCUGCAGCCUCCUUACCUCUCUCAGCCUUCAAAGAAUUGAAAUGAGUUAAGGCCUUGCUAUGGAUUAGGUUUGGCUUAAGGAAAUGUGGCUGGUUUGAUCUUUAUCCAGACCACUCAAACAUUCUCCAUAUCAGGAAAUAAGGCUGUUUUGCUUUCUUUUUUUUUUUUUAAAGAAAUGGAGUCUCUCUCUGUCACCCAGAACAGAAUCCAGUGGUGUGAUCAUAGCUCACUGCAGCCUCAAACUCCUGGGCUCUAGCGAUCCUCCUGCAUCAGCCUCCUGAGGAGCUAGGACUACAGGCAUGCACCACACACAGCUUGCUUUCUUAUCAUUAGUGUUCAAUGGAGUAACACUUGUAAUUUCCUUCAAUAACUUUUUCUUUGCAUUCACAGCUUGGCUGUUUGGUGCAAGAGGCCUAGCUUUGGGCCUAUCUCAGCUUUUGAAUGCCUGCUUCACUAAGCAUAAUCAUUUCUAGCUUUUGAUUUAAAGCGAGAGACUUUCGACUUUUUCUUUCACUUAACACUUAGAAGCCACUGUACUGUAGGGCUUUUGGCCUCAUUUCAAUAUUGUAUCUCAGGGAACGGGGAGCCUGAGGAGAGGGGAAGAGAGACGGGGGAACAGUCAGAACACACACAACAUUUAUCAAUUAAGUUUGCCAUCUUAUAUGGGCACAGGUCAUGGCUCCCCAAAACAAUUACAACAGUAACAUCAAAGAUCACAGAUCACCAUAAAAGAGAGAGUAAUAAUGAAAAAGCUUGAAAUGUUGGGAGAGCUACCAAAAUGUGAUGCAGACACACAAAGUACGCACAAGCUGUUGGAAAAAUGCUGCCGACUGACUUGCCUGCUGCAGGGCUGCCACAAACUGUAAAAAUGCAGCGCACCUGUGAAGCGCCACGAAGCCACACAUGAUGGGGUGGGACACGUCUGUGCAUGGCUGGGGAAACAGUCACCCUUGUGGGUGUACAGCUCUUCAGAUGUUUUGCAUUAGAAUGCAGGCAUAAAGUCCCUUAUGUAUUUUUAAUUUCCAAGCAACAAUAAUUUAAAAAUCAGUUGGAGAGUGUCAGCAGGUGCUUCUAGGUUCUGUGUGGUGAGCCCCCAGGUCCUGGCGUGUAGGGCUCUGGAUGUCUCUGUACACGGGAUAGAAACAUGGUCACGUGGGAAUGCCAAUAUGACUUAUUGCUUAUUGAGCUGUGCAGGCUUUUCUGCUUUAUCAAUUACGCCUCCAGGAAGCUGUGAAAGAAAGCUUCAUCCAUCUCCCACAGGAUUUGUCUCCAUAUUUGUGACACAUAAUAAAAUGUUAUGUACUCUUUAUGUAAUUUUACUCUCCUACUCAUGGCUGCUUAUCACUUGUGACAACAUGUUAAUUUUUCCAGUGCGGUCCUUGUAGACUGUUUUUCUUUUUCUUUUUUUUUUUUUUUUGAGGCGGAGUCUUGCUCUGUCACCCAGGCUGGAGUACAGUGGCACAAUCUCAGCUCACUGCAAUCUCCACCUGCCGGGUUCAAGCGAUUCUUGUGCCUUGCCUCCCCAGUAGCUGGGAUUACAGGAGCACACCACCACGCCUGGCUAAUUUCUGUAUUUUUAGUAGAGAUGGGGUUUCACUAUGUUGGCCACCAUGUACAAAAAUACAAAAAUUAGCUGGGCAUGGUGGCGGGCACUUGUAAUCCCAGGUACUUGGGAGGCUGAGGCACGAGAAUCGCUUGAACUCCUGACCUCAGGUGAUCCGUCUGCCUCAGCCUCCCAAAGUGCUGGGAUUACAGGCGUGAACCACCAUGCCCGGCCUAGACUGUAUUUCUUCAAAGAUCACAGGCUGCUUAUAAAAGUACCCUGCCUUCCCAAUUGAGGUGAUUUCUGACAGCUAAUUACCAAAAGACAUCACCGUCUUACGAUAGCAACUCAACACAGAAAGUCUGAUGGAAAGCCAUUUUAUUUUUCUCUAAAUUUUAAAAUAGAAGACUUUAAUGGAAAACAUUUAGUACCAUCAUGUCACCCUGAAUGCCAGCAAUACCUCGACUUUUACACACGCAGGAAGCCUAGUAAAAGCCCCGUCAGUAGUACACAUUUCUCUAUGGUCCUUCAACAGUUUUGCAUAUACAAAAUUUUCUGCUAUUUUGCUUUAGCAAACAGCAAUAAACUUUUGUGUUUCCUAUAUGACACCUAAUAUCCAGUCCUACAGUAAUAUAGUUAGAAAAAUAAAAGGCUUAAAAAUUUCAUAGUACGAGUUCAUGGUGCUAAUAACAGAAUCUCUUUAAACAUAAGAUCAUUUUAAGCCUCUUACAUAACCACCUUCUGGUUUCAUUUGAAAUCCUUAAGAAUUAAAAUCUAGUAAGAUUGUUAAAUCAACGUACGUCAAUCAUUCAUUUUCACUUGCCUUGGGAGAGUUAAUUCCCACUGUCCACUGAAUGAAUGCCUUUCAAAUAUUAAUAAAUAUAUUACAGUAUUUACAAGCAUUCUUAUACACUCCGACACUGACAGGGAGUUAAGCCAUGGAGAGGGAAGCACAGGUUUCCCAAUAGUGUGACUUCAUGACGUAUGGGACAAAAGGAACCGGUGCUCAGGCCUGGAGGGAGCUGAGAUGAGAGCAGGGAUGAUGGUUCAGAUACGCACACAUGCUCUAAGACACAUCAGACUCUAGCUGAGACCAGCCAGACAUUUCUUUUGUUGUUGGAUUAGAAGUAAAACUGAACAAGAAACCAGGACACGGAAGGAAGAACUGGAAGCUAUGCCUAAAGUCAGACCAGGCUAAGGAUUUUAAAACCAAGCUCCACAAGCUCUUAGUGAAUUACCCUGUGGAAACUAUGUAGCUGACGUGAAGUGUGGAGGGGGGUGGUAGAAAGGGGGGUUAAAUGUAAGACUUUGUUUUGGCAACAAAAAAUGAUAGUAAUUUGAUUUCUACAACUUUAACUGUGCCAUGUGCCCUUUCUUACCCCACUUUCUGCAGAUUGUUUCAUAUGAACGUACCCUCCACGUGACCUCUUUAAUGCACUUGGCAAACUCCGUUAAUGCUGUUGAAGAAUGUAUGUUCUGUGCUGUGGUAAGAGGUGAUCGUAAUGCCCAAAUCAUCCAAUACACUAUCAUAAAGUGAAGUGAAAGACAUGUACUAGAUGUUUGCUUUGUGAAUGUGAAUGAAAGUCUUAUUUUGGGGGUGUAGUUUCUUAUGUUUUAAUAAAAACAGUAGUCAUUAUUUUAAAAAGCACAUUCUCCUAGGUGCAUAUUUAUAUACAUAUACAAAUACCAUUUCCUUCCCCCUUGUGCCCUUCUGGGUAGUCAUUUUAAAAACUCAAGCCUGGGGUCAUCAAAAGGGGUAGAUUUAUACUCCCACCUAACUGUCUGGAGUAUAGAGUUCAGAUAGUCUCUUAGGAAGUUUUAUAAAUGAGAUUCACCCAGUACAAUUCUGAAAGCUCUUAAACAGGAGUCUUUAAAAUAAUGUAAACACUUAAGUAAUCAAUAAGGGUUCUCUGGUGGCCCACUUUUACAUGCAAAUACAGACCAACUGUUAACAUGCAUUAUUUUAGUCAACUGGUAAAGUUUAUUUCAUAAGUAUAAGUAAUUUUAAGCCUUUUACUAAACUGUAAAUUUCAAUCCAUUAAAAACUACUACCGGAGCAGUUUUGAGGUAUUACUGUUAAUUUAGUAUAGAAAUGUUACUGUAUUUUGAUGUGGUAUGAAAUGCAGCCGCCAUGCCUUUCAUGAAACGGUGCUAUCGUGGUGCUGACUACAGACAUGUCCUAUGGCUUUCAGGAAAUUAUUGUGCAUGUGCAUUAACAGAUUUUCCAAACAUUAAUGACAAUUUGAUUGGUUAGUCAUUUGUAAGCAUACCAAAAUAAUACAGUAUAGCCCACGUAUGAGCCAAACACACUGAGACAUUUGAGGCAUACAAUGCUACCCUCCAGUCUACUUUCGUCAGAAACCAAACCUACUCACUCAAAUCAUUUACAAGGAAAACUAGUGCAGAAAGCACCCCAAAAAUGUUGCCUGUCAGCAGGUUAAUUUUCUUCUAACUUUAAAAGAAGUAGAUAUUUUUUCUUUUAAAAUUCAUUUAUAAAAAUAAAUUUUAGUUUGAGACCCUAGGUACCAAAUUGUGGCUUAAUUUACUCAAGAUGGAUGUACUACAAAGUUAUGAAAAAUGUAGCUGAAAACCCAUGAGCUCCAGCUCAUUUCUGCAGCGUGGCCAACAGCUGCCACUGUACACUGUCACAACCCUUCUCAUAGGUAACCAAAAUACGCUCAACGUCUUGACAAACUUUUAGCCUUCCUUUGUCCUGAAACUCCCACACAACUUUAAUUCUUAGACCUCCAUUAUAAAACUAUUAGUAACCAUAAUACAUUCAAGAUAGAGAAUGAAGACCUGUCAUCCACUCAGGAGACACUGAACCAGGGCACUGGGACAACACGGCCACUCAGGGGAAAUAGUCACCCUUGUGGGUGUACAGCUCUUCAGAUGUUUUGCACUAGAAUGCAGGCAAAAAGUCCCUUAUGUAAUUUUUAUCUCCAAGCAACAACAUUUAAAAAUCAGUUGAAGAGUGUCAGCAGGUGCUUCUAGGUUCUGUGCUGUGAGCCCCCAGGUCGUGGAGUGUAGGGCUCUGGAUCUCUCUGUACACGGGAUAGAAACACAGUCACGUGGAAAUGCCAAUAUGACUUACUGCUUAGGGCUGUGCUGACAUCGGCAUCUCUGUUAGACUGAUUCUCGUAGGAGA